AGCUUUAACCUUAAUGAUCUUUUGGUUGGAUCUACUUUAUGGAGUUUCUUUGGAAUUUUUGAGUCUGUUGAUGUAAAGGUGAGCUUUUGAUCUACUCCAGAAGUAGUGGAUGUUAGAUCUAUGCUCUAAUAAGGUUCCUUGUUCAUAAAAAUGGAAACCUUAUGAAUGAUUUUGGUCCAUGCAUGUAUUAAGCUCUUAUUAAGUUCCUAUUUAAGUGUUGAUUCCCGUUAAGAUGUGUUUAUGAGUAAAGUUGGAAACUUUAUUGUUUAAGACCUUGCCUAGAGACCAUAUCUAUGUUUUGGACAUUUGGACUUAACCCAUUAAGAGCUAAUCAGGGUUUUGGACUUCUGGCUAGUACGCUGGGCGUACGAGGAGGUACACUCAACAUAAUGUGAGGAUUGUGCAUCAAAAAAAUUGUACGUUGUGCAUCAUGGUCGAGUAUGCAGGGUGUACAUCUUGAGUACGCCGGGUGAACUCCCUAGUGGGUCGUUUUGGGCCUUUAAGGUUUGGGCCAUUGUUGGGUAUUCUUAGUUUGGGCCGUGUUGGGCCAUUAGACUUCUUUUUUGGGCUUUUGGUUGUUACCUUUUGGACUCCUUUGGAUUUUAGGCCUGUAAAGGAUUUUAAUGGCCUAAUUUGGAAAAUUGGGCCAUAGUUGGGCUUUGGGUGUUUAUGUUGGAAUUUGGGCCUUUGGACAAUUGGGCUUGGGUCUUGGGCCAAGUUAUGGAAAGGGUAAAAAGGUCUUUUACCCUAGCUUGGAUUCUCAGUGUAGGGCAGUAUCCGAUUAUUAAUUGGAUGAUUAUUUUGUGAUUGGCAGCGCGGGGAUUUUGUUAGCUAGCCAGCAACCAGGGAUUCUUUCUACGAGAAUCGGCAGUGCCACUGUAUUUACUGUGUCGAAGGUAUUUCUGUUUUCAUAUGGAAGAGCUUGGGAUGAUCGCAGAGCAUACACCACAUGUUUCCACCUUCUGCGAUUUACUCUGAUGACGAUGAUGUAUUGAUAAGACUUUAAAUGCUUUGGUUUUGUGAAAAUGAUAUGAUUUACUAUUUUAGUAAUUUAAAAAUUAUAAUUUCUGGUCUUGUCA